CCUAAAGUAUCCCUUUAUGGAAAAGCUCCAUAUUGAUGGUGUGGCUAAUUGUAUAUCAGAGCACCUCAACAAUAAGACUCCCGUUAAUGUGCCUUUAGACUACAAUAAAUGUGUUUAGAAAUCAUUCUGUGCAAAUAAGAUACCGUAUAUACUCCAGUAUAAGUCGCCCCGAAUAUAAGUCGAGACCCCCUACUUUUACCCCAAAAAACUGGGAAAACUUAUUGACUCGAGUAUAAGACUAG